rnacentral:rRNA from 1 species
GACGAACGCUGGCGGCGUGCUUAACACAUGCAAGUCGAACGGUGAAGCUCCAGCUUGCUGGAGUGGAUCAGUGGCGAACGGGUGAGUAACACGUGAGCAACCUGCCCCUGACUCUGGAAUAAGCGCUGGAAACGGCGUCUAAUACUGGAUACGAGAAGGGUCCGCAUGGGCACUUUCUGGAAAGUUUUUCGGUUGGGGAUGGGCUCGCGGCCUAUCAGCUUGUUGGUGAGGUAAUGGCUCACCAAGGCGACGACGGGUAGCCGGCCUGAGAGGGCGACCGGCCACACGGGGACUGAGACACGGCCCAGACUCCUACGGGAGGCAGCAGUGGGGAAUAUUGCACAAUGGGCGAAAGCCUGAUGCAGCGACGCCGCGUGAGGGAUGACGGCCUUCGGGUUGUAAACCUCUUUCAGCAGGGAAGAAGCGAAAGUGACGGUACCUGCAGAAGAAGCACCGGCUAACUACGUG